UACGGGGGGUGCGAGCGUUGUCCGGAAUCACUGGGCGUAAAGGGCGCGUAGGUGGUUUGAUAAGGGUGUGGUGAAAGUCCGGGGCUCAACUCCGGAUCUGCCGUGCCGACUGUCAAACUCGAGGACUGUAGAGGCAGACGGAAUUCCGGGUGUAGCGGUGGAAUGCGUAGAGAUCCGGAGGAAGACCGGUGGCGAAGGCGGUCUGCUGGGCAGUUUCUGACACUGAGGCGCGACAGCGUGGGAGCAAACAGG
rnacentral:rRNA from 1 species